rnacentral:rRNA from 1 species
GAUGAACGCUGGCGGCGUGCCUAAUACAUGCAAGACGAGCGAACAGACGCGGCACUUGCUCCUCUGACGUUAGCGGCGGACGGGUGAGUAACACGUGGGUAACCUACCUAUAAGACUGGGCUCACUUCGGGAAACCGGAGCUAAUACCGGAUAACAUGUUAAACCGCAUGGUUUAACAGUGAAAGACGGUCUUGCUGUCACUUAUAGAUGGAUCCGCGCCGCAUUAGCUAGUUGGUGAGGUAACGGCUUACCAAGUCAACGAUGCGUAGCCGGCCUGAGAGGAUGAUCGGCCACACUGGAACUGAGACACGGUCCAGACUCCUACGGGAGGCAGCAGUGGGGAAUCUUCCGCAAUGGGCGAAAGCCUGACGGAGCAACGCCGCGUGAGUGAAGAAGGUCUUCGGAUCGUAAAACUCUGUUAUUAGGGAAGAACAAAUGUGUAAGUAACUAUGCACGUCUUGACGGUACCUAAUCAGAAAGCCACGGCUAACUACGUG